rnacentral:rRNA from 1 species
GAGUUUGAUCAUGGCUCAGAUUGAACGCUGGCGGCAGGCCUAACACAUGCAAGUCGAACGGUAACAGGAUAGCUUGCUAUCGCUGACGAGUGGCGGACGGGUGAGUAAUACUUAGGGAUCUGCCUCUGUGUGGGGGAUAACUAUUGGAAACGAUAGCUAAUACCGCAUAAUGUCUCCGGACCAAAGAGGGCUUUUAGCUCUCGCGCAGAGAGGAACCUAAGCGAGAUUAGCUAGUUGGUGAGGUAAAGGCUCACCAAGGCGACGAUCUCUAGCUGUUCUGAGAGGAAGAUCAGCCACACUGGAACUGAGACGCGGUCCAGACUCCUACGGGAGGCAGCAGUGGGGAAUAUUGCACAAUGGGGGAAACCCUGAUGCAGCCAUGCCGCGUGUGUGAAGAAGGCCUUCGGGUUGUAAAGCACUUUCAGUUGUGAGGAAAGUUUAGUAGUUAAUACCUGCUAGAUGUGACGUUAGCAACAGAAGAAGCACCGGCUAACUCCGUGCCAGCAGCCGCGGUAAUACGGAGGGUGCGAGCGUUAAUCGGAAUUACUGGGCGUAAAGCGCACGCAGGCGGUCUGUUAAGCUAGAUGUGAAAGCCCCGCGCUCAACGUGGGAGGGUCAUUUAGAACUGGCAGACUAGAGUCUUGGAGAGGGGAGUGGAAUUCCAGGUGUAGCGGUGAAAUGCGUAGAGAUCUGGAGGAACAUCAAUGGCGAAAGCAACUCCCUGGCCAAAGACUGACGCUCAUGUGCGAAAGUGUGGGUAGCGAACAGGAUUAGAUACCCUGUAGUCCACACCGUAAACGCUGUCUACUAGCUGUUUGUGGAUUUAAUCCGUGAGUAGCGAAGCUAACGCGAUAAGUAGA